rnacentral:lncRNA from 1 species
GACCCCCCUGCCCUCCUCGUCCAUAUCAGAACUGGAUCUUCCUCACACAGCCUUUAUUCCCUUACCAAAGUGGAUGAAUUCCUGAACUCGCCUUGAAAACUACAGACCCCACCACUGUCACAAGGGCAAUUGCAGCAAACGUCCCUUCUCUCUUCCCCUCAGCUGAAGAAAAGCAGACAGGGCCCUGCAUCAUGGAACUGUCCUGGCAAAGGUGUCCCGCCUCCACGGUGUCUUCAGGGAUGAAGGCUCCACCCGUGACGCUGACAGUGAGCGGUGAGAAAGGCAGCUGUGAGUGUGGCUGUCUGGUAAUACUUUGCGCUCCUGGUACCAUGAGUGAAAUCAUCUCUUUCUCUUCAGCAAUCCUGGGAGUUCACGUUGUUAAGCCACCCUCCUUUGCUGCCACAUGCAUGGAGAAAGCACCCACGAUUGCUAAAUUGUCUUAAAGAAGGAGGUUGAGAGUCUGUCUUGCUCAGCCCAUCUAAACCCUGGCUAACCCCACUCCCACGGUUCCCCAAGCUCAAUCAUCUGGAAUGGGGGUCAUUUUGCUCUCUCACCUCCAGGCCUUUGCGCAAGCUGUGUCCUCUGCCUGGAGCAUCCCUACUUCCCUCUCGUCCCCUGGCUACCUCCUGUUUUUCGGGACAGCGUCAUUCCCAGCUCCACAUCUCCACAGGGAAAGCUUCAUGCACUUCCCAGCUACGGUCAUUAAUCUCCGCUAGCACAAAACCCUGCUCUGCCAGCACACCAAGGGCCUGACGGAGAAAGAUGUGGCCUCCGUGGAGAGCGAUUCCUUGGACGACUUUUGUCCCUGAAAUGCGGACGAAGGUGUGUGCUCAGAGCUGUGCUUCUUGGUGUG